rnacentral:rRNA from 1 species
ACGGCCGCGGUAUCCUAACCGUGCGAAGGUAGCGUAAUCACUUGUUCUUUAAAUAAGGACUAGUAUGAAUGGCAUCACGAGGGUUAUACUGUCUCCUCUUCCUAAUCAGUGAAACUAAUCUCCCCGUGAAGAAGCGGGGGUAAUAUUAUAAGACGAGAAGACCCUAUGGAGCUUUAGAUUAAACGACACUUGUUUGCAUUAAUUUUAAAUUCCAGAAAAACAUACCCACUUAACAAGAUAAUCGUCAAUCUUAGGUUGGGGUGACCACGGAGCACAAAACAACCUCCAUGUUGAACGACAUUCACUGUCUUAUUCACGAGCAACCACUCUAAAAAUCAAUAUACUGACAUCUAUUGACCCAAUUUUUGAUCAACGAACCAAGUUACCCUAGGGAUAACAGCGCAAUCCUCUUCAAGAGCUCCUAUCGACAAGUGGGUUUACGACCUCGAUGUUGGAUCAGGGUAUCCAAGUGGUGCAGCCGCUACUAAAGGUUCGUUU